ACAGAGGGCUCGAGCGUUAAUCGGAAUCACUGGGCUUAAAGCGUGCGUAGGCGGGCCUGUAGGCCUGUCGUGAAAUCCCACGGCUCAACCGUGGAAUAGCGAUGGGAACCACAGGUCUUGAGGCAGGUAGAGGCAGUUGGAACGAUAGGUGGAGCGGUGAAAUGCGUAGAUAUCUAUCGGAACGCCAAAGGAGAAGUCAGACUGCUGGGCCUGAUCUGACGCUGAGGCACGAAAGCGUGGGUAGCAAACGGGAUUAGAUACCCCGGUAGUCCACGCCCUAAACAAUGCGCACUGGGUCGGGAGAGCUUGACGCUCCCUCGGCCGCAGCAAAAGUGUUAAGUGCGCCGCCUGGGGAGUACGGUCGCAAGAUUA
rnacentral:rRNA from 1 species